rnacentral:rRNA from 1 species
UGAACGCUGGCGGCGUGACUUAACACAUGCAAGUCGAACGGAGUUUUAACGGAAGUUUCGGAUGGAAGUUAAAAACUAGUGGCGGACGGGUGAGUAACGCGUGGGUAACCUGCCUCAUACAGGGGGGAUAACAGUUAGAAAUGACUGCUAACACCGCAUAAUAUAGCGAAACCGCAUGAUUUUUGCUAUCAAAUAGUUUAUAGGGUAUGAGAUGGGCCCGCGUCUGAUUAGCUAGUUGGUGGGGUAAAAGCCUACCAAGGCGACGAUCAGUAGCCGGCUUGAGAGAGUGACCGGCCACAUUGGGACUGAGACACGGCCCAAACUCCUACGGGAGGCAGCAGUGGGGAAUAUUGGACAAUGGGGGAAACCCUGAUCCAGCGACGCCCGCGUGAGUGAAGAAGUAUUUCGGUAUGUAAAGCUCUAUCAGCAGGGAAGAUAAUGACAGUACCUGACUAAGAAGCCCCGGCUAACUACGUGCCAGCAGCAGC